UUAAAGCUAGCCUGUACACCUACCUUAAACCCAACCCUAUUAAUUACUUCACAUACUAAUCCCUAACUAAAACAUUUUUACCUUUUUAGUAUGGGCGACAGAACAAAAACUCAGCGCAAUAAAUUAUGUACCGCAAGGGAAAGCUGAAAAAGAAAUGAAACAAAUAAUUAAAGUAACAAAAAGCAGAGAUUCCACCUCGUACCUUUUGCAUCAUGAUUUAGCUAGAAAAACUAGACAAAGAGAUCUUAAGCCUACCUUCCCGAAACUAAACGAGCUACUCCGAAGCAGCACAAUUCUAGAGCCAACCCGUCUCUGUGGCAAAAGAGUGGGAAGACUUCCGAGUAGCGGUGAAAAGCCUAUCGAGUUUAGUGAUAGCUGGUUGCCCAAGAAAAGAACUUUAAUUCUGCAUUAAUUUCUUCAUUACCAAAAAGUCUAUCUUACCAAGGUUAAACAUAAAAAUUAAUAGUUAUUCAGAAGAGGUACAGCCCUUCUGAACCAAGAUACAACUUUUGAAGGAGGGAAAAUGAUCAUAUUUAUUAAGGUUUCCACCUCAGUGGGCUCAAGAGCAGCCACCUGUAAAGUAAGCGUCAUAGCUCCAGUUUCACGAAAACCUAUAAUUUAGAUAUCUUCCUCAUAACCCCCUUAACUAUAUUGGGCUAUUUUAUAAAAUUAUAAAAGAACUUAUGCUAAAAUGAGUAAUAAGAGGAUAAACCUCUCCAGACACAAGUGUACGUCAGAAAGAAUUAAAUCACUGACAAUUAAACGACUCCAGACUGAGGUCAUCAUACCAAUAUUAUCUUAACUAGAAAAUCCUAUUAUAACAUUCGUUAACCCUACACAGGAGUGUCCCAAGGAAAGA
rnacentral:rRNA from 1 species